GCCGGGCGUCGUGGCGGGCGCCUGUAGUCCCAGCUACUUGGGAGGCUGAGGCAGGAGACUCGCUUGAGCCCAGGAGUUGGAGGUUGCUGUGAGCUGCGAUGCCACAGCACUCUACCCAGGGCAAUAGCCUGAGGCUCUGUCUCCA
rnacentral:SRP_RNA from 1 species